rnacentral:tRNA from 1 species
GAAAUGGUAGUACUUAAGUAUGCAUAGUUUCGGCCUAUGUGGUGGACUCUUGUGUCCUCAUUUC